rnacentral:rRNA from 1 species
UACAGAGGUCCCGAGCGUUGUUCGGAUUCACUGGGCGUAAAGAGUGUGUAGGCGGUGCUCUAAGUUCGGUGUGAAAUCUCCCGGCUCAACUGGGAGGGUGCGCCGGAAACUGGAAUGCUUGAGCGUGGGAGAGGAAAGCGGAAUUCCUGGUGUAGCGGUGAAAUGCGUAGAUAUCAGGAGGAACACCUGCGGUGUAGACGGCUUUCUGGACCAUUGCUGACGCUGAGACACGAAAGCGUGGGUAGCAAACAGG